GCGCGAAAACUUUACAAUGCUGGCAACAGCGAUAAGGGAACCUCGAGUUCCAGGUUACAAAUCAGGCUGUCGAGAUGCCUAAAAAGCACUUCAUAGCAAGGGCCGGGCAAGACCGGUGCCAGCCGCCGCGGUAACACCGGCGGCUCGAGUGGUAACCGUUAUUAUUGGGUCUAAAGGGUCUGUAGCCGGCCGGACAAGUCUCUUGAGAAAUCUGGCAGCUUAACUGUCAGGCUUUCAGGAGAUACUGUCUGGCUCGAGGCCGGGAGAGGUGAGAGGUACUUCAGGGGUAGGGGUGAAAUCUUGUAAUCCUUGAAGGACCACCAGUGGCGAAGGCGUCUCACCAGAACGGACCUGACGGCAAGGGACGAAAGCUAGGGGCACGAACC
rnacentral:rRNA from 1 species